UUAAAAUCUGAAAUCCAGCGACUGGAGCAGUGCUAAAACGAUUGAAGAUUAGAGGCUUUAUUCAUAAUUCCUGGUGCAAAGAAUAGCAGCUGAUGUGGAGAAAUGUUUGAUGCUUCAAGACUCUCUGAAGCUGAUUAUAUUAGGUGCACCCAGUGGCUUUUGACUAGGCCUAUUCGAGGGUCAGAUGGUUGUGAAUUCAUACCUCAACUUUGCGGCUGGAUUUUCAGUCUUAUUACAACUUCAGUCUGGCGUCCCGGGAGCAGGCGUCUUUUGCACACUUGAAUUAUUUCAAAGAUGUUUUGUUGGAAUCACAACACUCGCUGAAUACAAGACGGAUAUACAGAGGCAAAACAAGUGGAAAGGUCUCAGAGAAGAGGGACAACCCUCAUGUGUGUGCUCAUCUCAGAAAGUUGAUGGACUUUCAAUAUGUAUUUAUUAAAUUGUCUUUUGCAGGAAUAUUCUAAAUUUAAUAUAACAUAAGCUCAAACAACAGAAUUUGUGGUAUAAUGUUGAUUCCAGCAUUUUAUUUGAAUCCUUUAACCAAAAUUAUACAAAUUCUGUUGAUUGACCUUAAUUUUUUUAUAGAAAGUAAAUGUUCUACUCAGAAUAUGGCUUAUUUUUUGUGAUAUAACAGU